GAACUCCCACAUAUUCGUACUAAGUCACAGGGAACAAGGCAGAAUGAGGUUCAGUGGGGUGUGCCAGGUGAGUGUUGAUCAGCACCAAUGACAGCAUGAAACUGAUGUUCCAGGUGGGGAGACUGAAGAGGAGCCAGUUGUAGACACAAGAUAGAGAUGGUGACGAGAAAGUCACAUGUUAUGAUGGUGGCUGCAUCUCUGAUAUAUCAGAGGACAUUCUAAAGGAGCCUUGACACACAAAAGGCUUCUGAGACUCCUGCACCAGGGACUAAGAUGAAGCAGUUGAAAUCAAUUGGAUCCCAGGCAGCUUCCAGCCAGCAGAGACAUUCUGUCUUCCCUACACUCUGGGCAGGUCUUGGCAGCGCCCUGCCUGACUCCAGCCUGUCCCUUCUCGAGCCUGGAAAAGCCCAGGAGACCGAGGCGCACUCACCCGGUGGCUGCCUCUGUCCAUGGUGUAAGAGAAUGCUUCUUCCAGGCUCAGCUGAUGUCGAGGAGGCAAAAGAAACAGAGGAAGAGACACAUGCCCUAAAGCAGAGUUGCUGAGCUCAGAAGUGUGGAAGCAGAAGAGUUCGGUGGACUUGGGAAUGCUCCCUUUGUGAUAAAGCCCCAGGGUGGCUGCAACUUCUCUGAGAUCCGUGGAUUCUGUGACUGGGUCUGUGUUCCCCCAUGCAUGAAUCUGUACCCAAAUAAAAUUCUCUUUGCUUUU
rnacentral:lncRNA from 1 species